UACAGAGGUCUCAAGCGUUGUUCGGAUUCAUUGGGCGUAAAGGGCGCGUAGGCUGCGGGGCAAGUCGGGUGUGAAAUCUCAGAGCUCAACUCUGAAACUGCACUCGAUACUGCUUUGCUUGAGGACUGGAGAGGAGAUUGGAAUUCACGGUGUAGCAGUGAAAUGCGUAGAUAUCGAGUGGAGGAAGACCAGUGGCGAAGGCGGAUCUCUGGACGAGUUCCUGACGGC
rnacentral:rRNA from 1 species